rnacentral:rRNA from 1 species
UACGUAGGGGGCAAGCGUUGUCCGGAUUUAUUGGGCGUAAAGAGCGUGUAGGCGGCUUCACAGGUCCGCUGUGAAAACUCGAGGCUCAACCUCGAGCUGUCGGUGGAAACCGUGUGGCUAGAGUCCGGAAGAGGAGAGUGGAAUUCCUGGUGUAGCGGUGAAAUGCGCAGAUAUCAGGAAGAACACCCGUGGCGAAGGCGGCUCUCUGGGACGGUACUGACGCUGAGACGCGAAAGCGUGGGGAGCGAACAGG